CCAAAAAAAUGAACUUCAUUAAGAAAACAUUACAGGAUGAAUGACAAAAUCCUAAACAUUGAUGAGCAAUGGAAAAUUGAAAAGAAAUACUCAAAUCAUAGUUUGUCAGUCAGCAAUGUCCUAUCUUCUUAGCAUAAUGAUAAAACCAUAGUUGGUCUGCAAGUAGCGGCGAUGAUGCAACGCUUGGCCGCUGCGUGCGGAGGAGCAGCGAUGUCAUAGAUGAGAUAUGGUAGAGCUACUCGCAUCAUAACCUCCUCCGAAGGCAUCGCCACCCAUAGCCAAAGCCAAUACCAAAGCGGUAGCCAUGGCAUAGAUUUGAUCCUUUACCAAUCAAAAAGAAGAGUGGUAGAUGUGGGUAGGUAGUGAGGGGUAUAGAUAGAGAGAAGGUAGAGAUAAUGAUGAAGAUAGGGUUUGGUAUGAAUUGGAGGUGCGUAGGGUGAAUUUGUUAGGUUUAAUUGAAUUUUUAAUAAUUAUAAUUAUUAAAAUCUAAUUAUCACCUGAUUUGUGAAACAAAAAUUAAUUUCUCUUAUUUUUGAAAAUUAGUCUUUAAAUGUAGGUUUCUAGAUAAUUUUCCCUUUGUUUUAUAUAUUACUUCAUUCCAUUGAUUGUAUACUUUUCAUUAUGCUUUUCUCUUUCGGAAAAAAUAACUUUCUUUUACUUGACAAAAAAAUAUAAUUAAUCUCGAUAUCAUGCGUUCUGUGAAUAUAAAUUCAAGUUUGAUCAUAUAUUUUGUUGACCUCAAAAAAUGCAUCUAUAGAAUCUCGACUACAUUCUCUCUAGAUGUCACCUGCGUGCUGAAACACCCCAUUAGGUUGCAAAUGUAGUCAGUUGAGUAAAAUGUCCGACCAUCGUUAGUAUUCCUAUGGUCAAGUCAACAGCUAGACGAGAUAUAGAAUGAGUGCAAUAGAUGAGAGAGGAGGUUUGGUUAGGGUUAGAGUAACAUCGAAUGGACCAAGUGAGUUAAUGGAUCGAGCCUAAGCCCAAUAUGAGGUUGCGUAAUUCAAUAAGUCUAAUCCAAUUGAAUAAUAGAUGUCGAGUCGACAAAAGUGUGAUUGUAUAGUUUUAUUAUGCUUUUUAUUUUCGAAAAAAAGUAACUUUCUUUUACUUGAAAAAAAUGUAAUUAAUACUGAUAUCAUGCACUGAGUGAUUAUGAAUUCAAGUUUGAUCAUACAUUUCUUUCUGAAUUCUAGAAUAUAACUAUAUAAGUGAAUGUCAUACACAUAUAAUGUGAUCGUGUGUAUGUUUUCAUUAUGAAAGUCUGUUCAAGUGUAUAAAUAUUUAAGGUAAGGGAAAUGGGGGAGCCUGUUUCUAUUAUCGUCGAGUAACUUGGAUUUCAAUCUUUACCGUGCCGGGUAUAGUAUGCUAAUGCCCAAUAAUUAAGCUAAAGUAAUCCAAAAUGGGUGACAGAAGCAAUGACAGCUUCUCACAUGUGUGAGACCCGCACGAAUAAAAAAUGCAAGAAAAAGUAGGCCUAGACCCCUAUUGUGAGUGUUCAGUCAUGGAGGCCGUCAAAGUCUCCCCGUCAGUGUAGUAUCAUUGAAUGCGUAACUGUGGAUGUAUAGCUGGUUUAGCCUGGUUAAAUGUAUGCAUUUUUUGAUAAACUAUGGACAUGUAUACUUGGUGACCCCAUAGCACAUCGUUGGUAGAGUAAAGGAGUUUAGGUUCAUGGUUUGUAGCAGAGAGAACUGGCAGAGCAGUAGCAAUUGACGAAUUUGGUAUAGUGGGAAGUUGAUACUAGGUUUUUUGAUAAUCUGACGUAGCGGAAAUAUUAUAGGGAGGAUGAACAAUCGCAAAUUGAGAGAAUUCUCAAUGAAGAUUUUAUUGAAUUCCAGAACUACUGCCUCUAAGGGCUUACAACUGAUUAAAUAGUAGAAAAACCUAGGAAAAUCCGGAAAAUAAAAUAAAAGAUAUUUUUUUCCCAAAAAUGAAAAAUAUGAGAUAAUUACUAAGAUGAAAAAUACUUAUCUUCGGGAUCAUCCUCCAACAAACGGAAUCUAAAUCCGAAUUUCAUAGAAAGAGAUAUUGCAAAAAUGAAAAUUACAAUAAAUAGCAAAAACGAUUAAACGAGGGCCUAAACGAUGGAGUUUGCCCGAAAUUGGCCUUGCGUCAGGGUCAAAGGCUCUGAGUUUUAUUCCUUGGCUCGGCUCCAAUCAAAUUAGACUAGUGAUUUGCCAAAAACGAGCAAACCCAAAGUCAUCAUGAAAUCAUUUGCCCGUUUUGCCAACUUUUGCCUUGUGAUGGUCCCAUUUUGCCAUGAACUCUAAUCCCUUAUGCACUUCAUCAUUCUCCCCAGGGUGGGAAAAAUUCGCCCUCGAAUUUGACGGGAAAGGAGCUUCAUCAUCAUCACUAGAAUUAUCACCAUGAAAUGGCACCAAAUGCUUGAUAUGAAACACGUCAGAGGUACGAAUAUGGCUGGGCAGCUUUAAACGGUAAGCAUUUGGAUUGAUUUUCUCAAUGACCUCCAAUGGACCAAUCUUCUUCGCGGUAAGCUUGUUGUAUUCAUGAGCAGGAACAUGAUCCUUUGUUAACACCGCCCAAACAAAGUCACCUACCUCAAACUCAACAUGUCGGUGUUUGAGAUCCGCAGCACGCUUAUACUCAGCGACAGCAGCCUGCAGUUGAUCAUGAGUCUGUGAGUGAACCUGGUGUAGUUGUUGAAUAAAGUCUUCGGCCUUACCAUGCAUUUUAACAGAAGUAGAAACUGGAACUAGAUCAGGAGGACCACGAGGAACAAGGCCAUACACCACCUGGAAUGGACUAAAACCUGUACUUCGGUUAACAGCAUGAUUGUGAGCAAAUACUGCUUGACACAACUUCUGAUCCCAAGACUUAAUGUGAUCACCAACCAAACAACGUAAUAAAUCACCUAAGGAACGGUUAACAACCUCUGUUUGACCAUCUGUUUGAGGGUGAUAUGCACUACUGAAGUCCAGUCGUGUAUUCACAGAGCGCCAUAGGCUGCGCCAAAAGUGGUUGAGAAAACAAGUAUCCCGAUCGGACACAAUAGAUGUAGGCAGUCCAUGAAGGCGAUAAACUUCACGAAAAUACAGUAAGGCUACAUUGACAGCAUCUGUAGUCUUCUUGCAGGGGAUGAAAUGUACCAUUUUUGAAAACCGAUCAACCACUACGAAGAUUGAAUCAAAACCACGCUGGGUCCUGGGAAGUCCCACAACGAAAUCCAUGCUCACAUCUGUCCAAGGCUGGGUUGGGAUAGGUAGGGGGCAUAUACAAACCCGCAUUGGUUGCCUUGCCCUUGGCCAAGUGACAAACCCGACAACGCUCCACAAACUUGCUGACAUCCUUGCGCAAUGAUGGCCAAAAGCAAGAAGCAGCAACAAGCUGCAAUGUUCAGUCACGACCCACAUGGCCCUCAUUAUGCAACUCUUGAAUGAUCUUCAACCUCAAACUGCCCUCUGGAACACACAACUGAUUGCCAUGAAAAAGANGAAUAAUUUUUCUAUGAGUGUGUCAGCCGCGCCUUUUUGGAUAAGAAGCAAACAGUGUAGACUCCGAGGACUCCGCUGCUGCAAACAACCACUUUUUUAGGUGAAUUUGGGAGGUCCAUAGGGGUGAUGCGCAUGAGGAGCAACAAAUUGAAACUAAGUUGGGAGUUAAUUUGUGAAAUUGCUAUGAAAAUUGAAAUGAAAUUGAAGAAUGUAACUUAAGCUUAAAGAUGUUAGCACCUAAUUUUUCUUCCUAUCUUCUCUCACCCUUUUUUUCGCCUCCCUUUUUCCUCGUUUCUGCUCUCUGUCCGCUGCUUCCUGUUUUUAGCCUUUGUUUCUAUCAAAUGAAGAAAAUGGAUACAAGUGCAUGCUAGGUAGUGGAGCGCUAACUCCAAUUUUUGCAAAGGAAGCCCCAAAUUUUCUAUUCUAUCAAACAUUUGGUUGAUAACUUCCAAUAAUAGAUAAGUAAAUCCUCAAAUUUCUAUGUAUAAUAAGAGACUAGCAAGUGAAGUUCUAAACUUAAAAUAAAGGAAAAUUGUGUGAUUUAUGAUUGACAGAAAUAGUGUGAUUUGUGCUAAGAAAACUUAGUGACCGUGAUUGAUUAAUUGUGUAGUUUGUAAUUAAUAAAUGUAACAUUGUAUGUCUUUAACAUUUAUAAUUAAUAAUUCCGUGACUAUGUAUUCUUAAUUGUCCAUGUAUGUAUGUGACUAGGUAUGUGUAAGUUUUUAUUGUUUGUGACAAGAUCUAUGUAAGUUAUUAUUAUUUGUGACCAUAUUUGUCUUUAGUGUAAUUGUUUGUGAUCAGAUUUAACUUAAUUUUGAUUGUAUGUGACCAGGUAUUUCUUAAAUGUGAUCGUUAGUGACCAAGUCUUUCUUAAAUAUGACUAUUUGUGAAACAAGAUUUAUGUAAGCUAUUAUUAUUUGUGAUCAUGUAUGUCUUUAGUGUGAUUGUUUGUGAUCGGUUUUAACUUAAUUUUGAUUGUAUAUGACUACGUAUUUCUUAAAUGUGAUCGUUAGUGACCAAGUCUUUCUUAAAUAUGACUAUUUGUGACAUAACCUAUCUUAAUUUUGAUUAUAUAUGAUUAGUGUCGCAUUGAAUAUGACUAUAUGUGACCAUGUCUAUGUUAACAGUGUUAUGUAAUCUAAUAUGCUAAUGAUGACUUUUGUGUGACCAAUUUUUGUUAAUUAUGUCUAUAUGUGUGACCUUUUAUAUAUUUAUUGUGACUCUUUGUAACCAAGUUUGUGUUAUUUGUGACUGUCUGUGAUCAGGUGUAUUUUCAGUGUGAAUAUGUACGACUUGGUAAUGCUUUCAUUGUGACUUUUGUUAUCUAACUAUGACGUAUUAUUGUCUGACUGCAACUUACAUUCAUCAAAUUUGUAAUUGUAUGUAACCAAGUCACUAACUUAUGUUAUAUGUGACUAACUGUGAUCAAAUUUAUCUUCAGUAUGAUUGUCUGUAACCAUCUAAUUUUUGACCAAGUCAUCAACAUGUGUUAUUUAUGUGACCAGAUUUAUCUGUAGUAUGAAUAAAUGUGACCAAAUUUGUCUUCAGUAUGACUAUCUGUAACCAGGUCAUCUUAACUGUGAUGAUAUACAACUUGAUAUCUGAUCAAGUCACAAUUGAUCACAAUUAACACAGAAUUGGUCACAAUCAAUCACAAUAAACACAUAAUUGAUCACAGAAAAUCACGACAUACCAUAUAUCAGCACCACAAUAUACCACCUUCAACUUAAAUCCAUGACAAUGAAUUCCCAAGAAGAAUGUAAAUUUCCCAAUUCAUGUUUAUCUAAAACUUUUCUUUGCUACUCUAAAUGACCAUUCAAAAUCCCCCCCCCCCCCUUCGAUCGUCAUAAUCAUUUCCUUAAAAAGGUAGAGUACCAGAGUCCAAUUGUAUGAAAUUCUAGUCAAUCACCCACGGAAAAGAGGCAUCAAUCCUUAGCGCCGUCAAUGCUACUUGCAGAAAAGUGUGAUAUUUCCAAGAUCCCAGGUUGGAGAUCACCUUGAGAUCUAUUUUGCAAAAGAACAUUAACUAUAUAAAAUUGCAAUUAAGCAAUCCAAAACCAAGAAAAAAUAUUCCACAAUUGCUCAUGAUGAAAAAUUUGUACAAUAAAAGUGAUGUUACUUUCAUUUCUCAGCCUACAAAUAUUAAGAUAGUCAUAUCCUACCUACGAUACACAAUAUACACAAUAACUGAAUAUGAACUGAAAGUAAUUAGCAUAAUGUGAAAAGAAAAAAAAAUCCCUUAUGUUUUAGUAUGACAUCAUUUGCAUAUGAGUACUACAUGUAGAGGACAUCAAAGCCAUAUCUAGAUCUUCAUUCAUUUCUCUUCAAAUUCACCAUCAAUGAGAAUAGGUUUACUCUUUUUUGAAGAGGAACUAGUACCUCGGCCAGCUUUAUAAAAGAAGUCACCUUGUGGCUGCCAUACAAUGUUCUCACAACUUGCACAACAAUGUGUUUAGAUCUUGUAUCCACCAAACUGCCUCCUACAUGCAAGGCAUUCUUCUUGCUCAAAUAAAUUAAUACACACAUAAAUCAUACGUGCUCAUACUAAUUACUAUUGGACCAUUUCAUGAUUGGAGAUCUAAAUAAACAUUAGCUAGCAAAUAACAAAACAAAAAGAGUAGGGAUGACAAAUCUAAAUGUAAGAAAAAAGAACCGAUUUAAAUUUAUGGGAACUUUUGCUUUGGUAGUACUGUAAAAAGGAUAUUCAGCAGGGUCUACAUGAAUAAGGCAUCCUGUGCACAUACUUUAUAUUUUGGUAUUUUAAUUAACUCCAUAAAUAGGUGCUCAGCAUCUGGAAUGAAGUUCUAAGCAUGAAAAUUCCAAUUGGAUACAGAUAUGGUUGAACAUUUAUGAGGAUUUCUUGCUUGAUUAAGCUGUGCUGGACAAGUUACAAUUUGAAAACUGACUAAUGGGUAACUAAGGGAACAAACUGUAACAUGAAUAGCAAAUUCAUACGUGUCUUAUAAAAUUAUUUUGAUUAUAACUAUCCAUGCUUUUUUUCUGUUUUUUUGCCAACAGAGCAUUUUUCAUAAUCAAACGUAACACUUAAAAAUCUUUCAUUGAGAAAAAGCCAAAAAAAUGAACUUCAUUAAGAAAACAUUACAGGAUGAAUGACAAAAUCCUAAACAUUGAUGAGCAAUGGAAAAUUGAAAAGAAAUACUCAAAUCAUAGUUUGUCAGUCAGCAAUGUCCUAUCUUCUUAACAUAAUGAUAAAACCAUAGUUGGUCUGCAAGUAGCGACGACGAUGCAACGCUUGGCUGCUGCGUGCAAAGGAGCAGUGACGUCAUAGACGAGAUAUGGUAGAGCUACUCGCAUCAUAACCUCCUCCGAAGGCGUCGCCACCCAUAGCCAAAGCCAAUACCAAAGCGGUAGCCAUGGCAUAGAUUUGAUCCUUUACCGAUCAAAAAGAAGAGUGGUAGAGGUGGGUAGGUAGUGAGGGGUAUAGAUAGAGAGAAGGUAGAGAGAAUGAUGA
rnacentral:lncRNA from 1 species